GACGAACGCUGGCGGCGUGCUUAACACAUGCAAGUCGAACGGAAAGGCCCUGCUUUUGUGGGGUGCUCGAGUGGCGAACGGGUGAGUAACACGUGAGUAACCUGCCCUUGACUUUGGGAUAACUUCAGGAAACUGGGGCUAAUACCGGAUAGGAGCUCCUGCUGCAUGGUGGGGGUUGGAAAGUUUCGGCGGUUGGGGAUGGACUCGCGGCUUAUCAGCUUGUUGGUGGGGUAGUGGCUUACCAAGGCUUUGACGGGUAGCCGGCCUGAGAGGGUGACCGGCCACAUUGGGACUGAGAUACGGCCCAGACUCCUACGGGAGGCAGCAGUGGGGAAUAUUGCACAAUGGGCGGAAGCCUGGUGCAGCAACGCCGCGUGCGGGAUGACGGCCUUCGGGUUGUAAACCGCUUUCGCCAGUGACGAAGCGUGAGUGACGGUAAUGGGUAAAGAAGCACCGGCUAACUACGUG
rnacentral:rRNA from 1 species